UUCGCAAUGCCCGAAAGGGUGACGAUGCGACGCCGCGUGAGCGAAGAAGGCCCUAGGGUUGUAAAGCUCUGUCGAGGGUUAUGAAAUAUAGAUGGGUUAAUACCCCAUUUAUUUGACAAAAGCCCAAAAGGAAGCCACGGCUAACUCUGUGCCAGCAGCCGCGGUAAUACAGAGGUGGCGAGCGUUGUUCGGUAUUAUUGGGCGUAAAGAGCACGUAGGUGGUUUUGUAAGUCAGGUGUGAAAGCCUUCUGUUCAAAGGAAGAACGGCAUCUGAAACUGCAGAUCUUGAGUGUAGGAGGGGAGAGUGGAACUUCUGGUGGAGCGGUGAAAUGCGUAGAUAUCAGAAGGAACGUCGGCGGCGAAAGCGACUCUCUGGCCUAUUACUGACACUGAGUGUGCGAAAGCUAGGGGAGCAAACGGGAUUAGAUACCCCGGUAGUCCUAGCCGUAAACGAUGGGCACUAAGUAGAGGGGUUUU
rnacentral:rRNA from 1 species